rnacentral:rRNA from 1 species
CCGGUAAACGGCGGCCGUAACUAUAACGGUCCUAAGGUAGCGAAAUUCCUUGUCGGGUAAGUUCCGACCCGCACGAAAGGCGUAACGAUUUGGGCACUGUCUCAACAACAGACUCGGUGAAAUUGUAAUUCCGGUGCAGAUGCCGGAUACCUGCGACAGGACGGAAAGACCACAUGGAGCUUUACUGUAGCUUGACAUUGGGUCUUGGUACUACAUGUACAGGAUAGGUGGGAGGCUUUGAACCCAGGACGACAGUUUUGGCUGAGCCAUCCUUGGGAUACCACCCUUGUAGUACUGGGACUCUAACCAUAGGCCAUGAAUCUGGUCUUGGGACACUGUCAGGUGGGCAGUUUGACUGGGGCGGUCGCCUCCCAAAAGGUAACGGAGGCGCUCAAAGGUUCUCUCAGUACGGUCGGAAAUCGUACGUAGAGUGUAAAGGCAAAAGAGAGCUUGAUUGCAAGACAUACAGGUCGAGCAAGGAUGAAAAUCGGACUUAGUGAUCCGGUGGUUCUGCGUGGAAGGGCCAUCGCUCAACGGAUAAAAGCUACCCUGGGGAUAACAGGCUUAUCUCCCCCAAGAGUCCACAUCGACGGGGAGGUUUGGCACCUCGAUGUCGGCUCAUCACAUCCUGGGGCUGUAGUAGGUCCCAAGGGUUGGGCUGUUCGCCCAUUAAAGUGGUACGCGAGCUGGGUUCAGAACGUCGUGAGACAGUUCGGUCCCUAUCCGUCGCAGGCGUAGGAAAUUUGAGAAGACCUGUCCUUAGUACGAGAGGACCGGGAUGGACGUACCUCUGGUGUACCAGUUGUCCUGCCAAGGGCAUGGCUGGGUAGCUAUGUACGGAAUGGAUAAGCGCUGAAAGCAUCUAAGCGCGAAGCCAACUUCAAGAUAAGAUUUCCCACCGCAAGGGUAAGACCCCAGAAAGACUAUCUGGUUGAUAGGUCGAAGGUGUAAGUGCAGCAAUGUAUUUAGCUUAUCGAUACUAAUAGGUCGAGGACUUGACCAAU